CAGUAGCCACGGUAAUACGUAGGUGGCGAGCGUUGUCCGGAAUUAUUGGGCGUAAAGGGAGCGCAGGCGGACAUAUAAGUCCAUCUUAAAAGUGCGGGGCUCAACCCCGUGAGGGGAUGGAAACUGUAUGCCUUGAGUGCAGGAGAGGAAAGCGGAAUUCCCAGUGUAGCGGUGAAAUGCGUAGAUAUUGGGAGGAACACCAGUGGCGAAGGCGGCUUUCUGGGCUGUAACUGACGCUGAGGCUCGAAAGCCAGGGGAGCGAACGGGAUUAGAUACCCCUGUAGUCCCUGUCUCUUAUACA
rnacentral:rRNA from 1 species